AAAAAGUUUGAUUCUUGCUUGUUUAUAUAGUAAAACAAUAAAAAAUACAUUCAAGUAUUUGUGAGAACUAAGGUAUUGUUGUAUUAAAAAUAAAUAGUAAAAUAAUAAAUAAUUAAAUCGAAGUGUGUAGUAUUAAUUAUAUAAUUGAAAAAUUGAAUUAAUAAUUGUUUUAAAAUCUGACUAAAAAUUUGUGCCAGCAGUCGCGGUUAUACUUAGAGAUUUAAUAUAUAAAUUUUGAUUAAUAGUUAGAUAGGAUAAGGUGUAUAAUUAUUGUAUUUGGAUUAAUAAAAGGUGAAAUUAGUUUAUUAAGUGUUUAGUGCAGUAGUUUUCUUAUUAUGUAUUAAAGCUAUAAAAUUUGUAAUAUAAACUAGGAUUAGAUACCCUAUUAUAUACAUAUUUAAUAAAAAAUAUCAGGCUAUUUUUAGUUAUGUUCUUAAAAAUCAAAGAACUUGGCGGUAUUUUAGUCUUGUUAGAGGAACCUGUUUUAUAAGCGAUAAACCACGUAGUAUCUUACUUAAUUUUGUAUAAUAGUAUGUAUACCGUCAUUAUUAGAUAAUUCUUAUAAGAUAUAAUUUUUGAAAUAAUGAAAAAGAUUAAUGUUAGUAUAUUAGAUCAAGGUGCAGCUAAUAGUUAAGUAAAAAUGGGUUACAAUAAUAUUUAAUUAUAUGGAUUAAUUAUUGAAAAAUAAUUAUUGAAAGUGGAUUUAAUUGUAAUUUUUUUUUAAUAAGAAAGAAUGAUAAAAGCUCUAAGAUAUGUACAUAUCGCCCGUCGCUUUCACUAUAAGGUGAGAUAAGUCGUAACAUAGUAGGUGUACUGGAAAGUGUACCUAG
rnacentral:ncRNA from 1 species